UACGUAGGUGGCAAGCGUUAUCCGGAAUCAUUGGGCGUAAAGGGUGCGUAGGCGGUUUUUUAAGUCUGUAGUGAAAUCGUGGAGCUCAACUCCAUCAAGCUACGGAAACUGGGGAACUAGAGUGCGGUAGAGGUUAGUGGAAUUCCAUGUGUAGCGGUAAAAUGCGUAGAUAUAUGGAGGAACACCGGUGGCGAAGGCGGCUAACUGGGCCGUAACUGACGCUGAGGCACGAAAGCGUGGGGAGCAAAUA
rnacentral:rRNA from 1 species